rnacentral:rRNA from 1 species
GGCUCAGGACGAACGCUGGCGGCGUGCCUAAUACAUGCAAGUCGUACGAUUCUUUUUCCACCGGAGCUUGCUCCACCGGAAAAAGAAGAGUGGCGAACGGGUGAGUAACACGUGGGUAACCUGCCCAUCAGAAGGGGAUAACACUUGGAAACAGGUGCUAAUACCGUAUAACAAUCGAAACCGCAUGGUUUUGAUUUGAAAGGCGCUUUCGGGUGUCGCUGAUGGAUGGACCCGCGGUGCAUUAGCUAGUUGGUGAGGUAACGGCUCACCAAGGCCACGAUGCAUAGCCGACCUGAGAGGGUGAUCGGCCACAUUGGGACUGAGACACGGCCCAAACUCCUACGGGAGGCAGCAGUAGGGAAUCUUCGGCAAUGGACGAAAGUCUGACCGAGCAACGCCGCGUGAGUGAAGAAGGUUUUCGGAUCGUAAAACUCUGUUGUUAGAGAAGAACAAGGAUGAGAGUAACUGUUCAUCCCUUGACGGUAUCUAACCAGAAAGCCACGGCUAACUACGUGCCAGCAGCCGCGGUAAUACGUAGGUGGCAAGCGUUGUCCGGAUUUAUUGGGCGUAAAGCGAGCGCAGGCGGUUUCUUAAGUCUGAUGUGAAAGCCCCCGGCUCAACCGGGGAGGGUCAUUGGAAACUGGGAGACUUGAGUGCAGAAGAGGAGAGUGGAAUUCCAUGUGUAGCGGUGAAAUGCGUAGAUAUAUGGAGGAACACCAGUGGCGAAGGCGGCUCUCUGGUCUGUAACUGACGCUGAGGCUCGAAAGCGUGGGGAGCAAACAGGAUUAGAUACCCUGGUAGUCCACGCCGUAAACGAUGAGUGCUAAGUGUUGGAGGGUUUCCGCCCUUCAGUGCUGCAGCUAACGCAUUAAGCACUCCGCCUGGGGAGUACGACCGCAAGGUUGAAACUCAAAGGAAUUGACGGGGGCCCGCACAAGCGGUGGAGCAUGUGGUUUAAUUCGAAGCAACGCGAAGAACCUUACCAGGUCUUGACAUCCUUUGACCACUCUAGAGAUAGAGCUUCCCCUUCGGGGGCAAAGUGACAGGUGGUGCAUGGUUGUCGUCAGCUCGUGUCGUGAGAUGUUGGGUUAAGUCCCGCAACGAGCGCAACCCUUAUUGUUAGUUGCCAUCAUUUAGUUGGGCACUCUAGCAAGACUGCCGGUGACAAACCGGAGGAAGGUGGGGAUGACGUCAAAUCAUCAUGCCCCUUAUGACCUGGGCUACACACGUGCUACAAUGGGAAGUACAACGAGUCGCGAAGUCGCGAGGCUAAGCUAAUCUCUUAAAGCUUCUCUCAGUUCGGAUUGUAGGCUGCAACUCGCCUACAUGAAGCCGGAAUCGCUAGUAAUCGCGGAUCAGCACGCCGCGGUGAAUACGUUCCCGGGCCUUGUACACACCGCCCGUCACACCACGAGAGUUUGUAACACCCGAAGUCGGUGAGGUAACCUUGUGGAGCCAGCCGCCUAAGGUGGAGAUAGAUGAUUGGGGUGAAGU